rnacentral:rRNA from 1 species
AGUGAACGCUGGCGGCGUGCCUAAUACAUGCAAGUCGAACGGACGAGUAAGAGCUUGCUCUUAUGAGUUAGUGGCGCACGGGUGAGUAAUGUAUAGCUAAUCUGCCCUACACUAGAGGACAACAGUUGGAAACGACUGCUAAUACUCUAUACUCCUCUCUAACAUAAGUUAGAUAGGGAAAGUUUUUCGGUGUAGGAUGAGGCUAUAUUGUAUCAGCUAGUUGGUGAGGUAAUGGCUCACCAAGGCUAUGACGCAUAACUGGUCUGAGAGGAUGAUCAGUCACACUGGAACUGAGACACGGUCCAGACUCCUACGGGAGGCAGCAGUAGGGAAUAUUGCUCAAUGGGGGAAACCCUGAAGCAGCAACGCCGCGUGGAGGAUGACACUUUUCGGAGCGUAAACUCCUUUUGUUAGGGAAGA